GCAGUAAGCUCCGUUUCCGGCUUAGGCUCGGGGUCUGGUGAAGGGGCUGUCAGGAGGCGCCAUGUCGGGCCGCGAAGGUGGCAAAAAGAAGCCCCUGAAACAGCCCAAGAAGCAGGCCAAGGAGAUGGACGAGGAAGAUAAGGCUUUCAAGCAGAAACAGAAAGAGGAGCAGAAGAAACUCGAGGAGCUCAAAGCCAAGGCCGCGGGCAAGGGACCCCUGGCCACAGGUGGAAUUAAGAAAUCUGGCAAAAAGUAAGCUGUUCCUCAUAUUUGAGAUGAUGGUGACCCUCUUCCAUUCCUAUUUAAACAUCUGGAUUCCCUGCCAUAACAUCUUUGCCACCUACAGCUAGAAUGAAGUGUUUCCCUGGAGCCUGUUAAACAUCUGGAUUCCCUACUAUAACAACAUCUUUGCCACCUAUAGUUAGAAUGAAGUGUUGCCCUGGAGCCUGUUGUACAUUGUAAUAAACUUUCGUAAAAAAAAAAAAAAAAAAUUAUAAUAAUAAAUAAUCCAAUGGCUCAUUGUCUCUAGUGUUCAGCAAUUCCUACCUCAGCUGUGAAUUUAAAGUAAACUCAGUCCGAAAUCCUACCAGAGCUGUUUCAUCUUUGUUGUACUCUGACGUCUGUGUCACUUUGAAUGAAUUAGACCAACUCAUUAAAAGGCUAUCAUUCUUGUGUA